rnacentral:tRNA from 1 species
GUGCCUGUGGCUCAAAGAAGUAGAGUGCUGGCCCCAUAUGCCAGAGGUGGCAGGUUCAAAUCCAGCCCUGGCCA